GGCCUCUAAUAACUACGAACGGAAAAAGUUCAUGAAAACUGAUGAAAAUAUUAUCAUCAAAAUACAAAAGGUUAUUGUAGAAUUAUAGUUCAACAAGUCUUGGGGAAUAAUUGGAGAACAUUAAAGAAGACGCAAGCAGAGGUGGAAGCAUGUGAACCAAUCGAUAAUUGAUGCGAUGAAAAUGGGGUGGGUCGAUCCACCACUCGUGCUAAUGCUUCUAUAAUGCUUCGAAUCUCAUUUAUUCGGUCAAAUCAUUUCUUCUCCAACGUCCAACACCCACAUGUGACACGUACCUUAUCAAAGCAUAUCGUAAAACGACCCCGAAAUUAAAGCUAAAAC
rnacentral:lncRNA from 1 species